AUUUAAAAUUCAAAUUGAGUAGAAUGUCAGUUCUGUUUCACUAUGCUACAGGCUGAGGAAGAGAGAGCGGCCAAGGAAAGCUCCUCCCCCACCAAGCUACCCCCAGUGAUGGAGGCCCAGGAACCACCUGAGGAGGAAGGCAAGAAAGCAGCCACUGAGGCCCCUGCAGAGGGAAAACCGGCCGAAGAGGAGGAAAAGCCAGCGGAGAGCUCAGAGGAAAAGAAGGAGGAGGAUUCCAAGGAGGAGUCGAGUGACCCCGCCCCCACAGAGGAGGAGACUUAGUCAGCCCUGCCCCGCCUAGCCUUGUCCCUAUUACUGUGUUAUAAGCUUCCGUUUUAUUCACCAACAACACUGUGCCAGAUCCCCAUUGACUGUAAUGUUAUUUAUCAUUGUGUUGUGUUUUAUCAUGAAUGACUGUCUGUCUGUGUAUGUGUGAUUCAAGUAUAUCUGUGAUUAUCAUCUUAUUAUGUAAAGAAAAAAAUGUUUAUAAAACCAACAGUGCAGUAUUUUUAUAAAAAAAAUUUUGUGUGUAAUAUGAAUGUUAAAAAAAUCCGUUAUGAAAUGCUCUGCUUAUAAAAGUAAAACGUAUUGGCAGCAUUGC
rnacentral:misc_RNA from 1 species